rnacentral:misc_RNA from 1 species
GUGGUGGUUUCAAGUGUUGUUUAUAUGUUAGAAAUCCAUCUACCAUGAAGAAUUAUCUCCACUUUUUGAUUAACCUGCUUCCACAUUAAUGGGUGGGGUCUGUGGGGAAGCCUCUGAUUCAUUUACUGCCAUAAUUUUUGGUCAGUACAUGGCAAUUGUGACCAGAAGUCCUUGAUAGAAUUGAAUUAGUCCUUUUAUAGCCUGCAACUAAAUCAGUUGGCAGGAAAGGGGUGUAAACAAGAGCUCCUAUUGUAUCUGUUUAGCAUUCAAUUGCAGCUUUUUGGUGCAGUUUAGCUUUACAUAGGCUAAAUGUUAUUAUAUCAGAAUGAUUUCUUGGAAAGAAUAAUUAAAAA